UACGGAGGGUGCCAGCGUUGUCCGGAUUUAUUGGGUUUAAAGGGUGCGUAGGCGGCUCUAUAAGUCCGUGGUGAAAGCCAACAGCUCAACUGUUGAACUGCCAUGGAUACUGUAGGGCUUGAGUACAGACGAGGUAGGCGGAAUGGAUGCUGUAGCGGUGAAAUGCAUAGAUAGCAUCCAGAACCCCGAUUGCGUAGGCAGCUUACUAGGCUGUAACUGACGCUGAGGCACGAAAGCGUGGGGAGCGAACAGG
rnacentral:rRNA from 1 species